rnacentral:rRNA from 1 species
UACAGAGGAGCCAAGCGUUGUCCGGAUUGACUGGGCGUAAAGCGCACGCAGGCGGAUGCGCGCGUGGGGUGUGAAAUCUGGCCGCUUAACGGCCAGGCGCCAUCCCAUACGGCGCGUCUGGAGUGAUGCAGAGGUCGAUGGAAUUGCCGGUGUAGUGGUGAAAUGCGUAGAGAUCGGGAGGAACAUCAGUGGCGAAGGCGGCCAUCUGGGACAACACUGACGCUGAAGCACGAAAGCGUGGGGAGCAAACAGG